CGCGGGGUGCGGGCCGCGGCUGGGGCACGGGGACCCGGACAGCCGCCGAGCGCGCUCCUGGCAGGCUCUGGCAAGCCAAACCGGGACUUUGUCCAUUGUUAAAAGUCAGAAACCUCUGGGAUAAGAAACAAAAAUAUGUUCCAUUAGAGGAGCUUUGUCUGGAUUGUUCAUUGUGUUCUCAACAUCUAUACAAUACCUAACACAUAGAGGUAGGACCUAAAAGAAGACCUACAACAAAGUGAGACAACUGAUAAGAUUUCAAGAAAUAAAAUGGAAACUCCCAUCAGUAUAUUGACGCAUCAGGCAAUAAAAAGUUGAGAAGCCAACAGGGUUUCCCAAAGUCUAUAGUUGGGGAGGUAGGGGUGGAUGCAGAGUGUUCCCAGCACACUGUAUGAGAUGGGAUAAUAUGCCUGGAUGAAGGAGAUUCCUGUUUCCUGGCAUUUCCCCAAAGAAUGGUUUAAACUUAUUUGGAGGAAAAGUUGAAUAACGUGUAACCAACCAAACCUAGGGAAAAUCUGUAAACAGACCUUCAUUAUUUAUAAAACCUUGUGACUUGAGUGUGCAUGUGUGUGUCCGUACACACGCUCAUGUGUUCGGAGAGAGCGAUGUACAUUCACUCAGGCUAUAAAUAAUCCUGAUUACUUGUUUACUGCUUCAAAGAAAGAAAGUUUCAAAAGUGAGAUCUCUUCAGUAGCGAUAGUUUCCAGACAUACUAAGAAUUAUAAGACAACAAAGAGAUUUUAUAUCCUGGAAAAAUUGGGCUAAUGACCAAGAAACAUCUGCCCUCUCCCCUGUCCACUGCCCUACUAUAUUUCUGUCUGGCCUACAAGGUUACAUGCCAGAUUCAAGGGGAAAUAUCAUAUGCACCUGUAGUUUUUAUUGCUCAUCGCUGUUUCUCUGGCAGUGUUCCUUUUGAGGCUUGCAUUAAGAAAUCCAAACCCAUAAUUAUGUCUUUAAUGUUUGUCUCUGGGAAUUGCAGACAUUAAAAGGCUAUUUUGAGGCUGUUUGCAUGGCUUACGCUUUGUACCUAUGCUAGCUCCACAGCAGAAAGCUGCAAUAUCUACCAUAUGUGUUGUGGAUUGUCUGUUAAAAUCUUCUGCCAAGCCAAAGGAGUUCUUGGGGCCAGAGAUUCUGUUCCUUGGCUCUUGUCAUCCUUGACAACUCUCUCUCCCUCAUCCCACUGCUGUCCUCCCCUAGGCUAUCACCAUCUUCUGGGUUUUUUUUCUAAUAGUGGAAAAAGACAUAUAACUUAAAAUUUACCAUCUUAACCAUUUUUAAGUCUAUACUUCAGUAUUAAAUAUAUGAACACAGUUGUGCACCAUCCCCCUGAUUUUUACUCCCUCAAACAUUCUGAAAGGAGCCCACUUUCCUUCAGUCAUUUAAGGAAGCCAGACCAGCCUCAUGCAGAGGCCAACCUGGUGGAGGAUACAGGUCACUGGUUUAUGCUGAGCGGAGCUCUCAGCAGACAGUGCCAAUGUAUCUGGCGUGUCUGUAAUCCCAGCAUGCAGGGAGCUGAGGCAGGAGUACUGCUGCAAGUUUAAGGCCAGCCUGGGUUAAAUAGUGAGACCCUGCCUCAAAAAAAAAAACAACCAAUUAAUAGUGUCCCCUAAAGACCCAUGUGCUGAGGGAGGGAUCCCCAAUGCACCAGUGUUCAGAAGUGGGGUUAGACGACUGGGUCAUCAGAGUAUUAACCUCAUCAGUGGACUGAUGUGUUGACAGCUGAGUGGUCUAUUAGAUGAUUUGGGCCCAUUUGGAGGAAAUAGUUCACGGGAGGCAUGCCUUUGAAGGAUAUUUUGUCCCUGACCUCUUCUUCCGUUUCCUAGCUGCUAUCAGAUGAGCAGCUUUCCUCUGCCACACCCUUCCGCCGUAAUGCUUCUGCCUUACCACAAGUGUAGAGUAACUGCGCUGGCUGCCAUGGACUGAAACCUCUGACACUGUGAGCCAUCAUAAACCUUUCUUCCUUUAAGCUGUUUUUCUCAGGUAGUUUAUCACAAUGAUGGAAAGCUGGCUAACACACCAGGCUUGUGAGUGAACUAUCUUGGAAGUAGGUGCUCAAGCCCCAGCUGAGCUGCCCAACCAAUGCCAUGUGGAACAGGGAUGAUCUUCAGCAAACUGCUCACAUUGCAAAAUUGUUUAGCAAAAAAAAAAAAAAAAAAA